AAUUGAACCAUUUGUCACUAUGAAAUGACCUUGUUUAUUGCUGGUAAUAUUUUUGCUGUGAAAUGUACUUUGGUAUUAAUACAACCACUCUUCCUCAGCCUUCUUUUGUAGUGUUAGUGUGAUAUACCUUGUUUCAUCUUUUAACCAAUUUUUGUCUUUAUAUUUAAAGUUUACUUCUUAUACUCAUUAUACAGAUAAGACUUGCUCUUUUAUCCAUUCUGAUAAUCUGCCUUUGAGCAGAGGUUUUUAGACCAGUUUAAUUUAUAAUGUAAUUAUUGAUAUGAUUAGAGUUGUCUGUCAUCACACUGUUUGAUUUCUAUUAGUCUCAGAUCUUCUUUGCUUUGCUUUUUUCCUUUUCUGCUUCCUUCAGACUAGUUUAGUAAUUUUUAUGAUUUAGUUACAUAUCUGUAUAUGCAUAACUUUUUAAGUUAUUAAUCUAGUUUUACAUUUCUUUACAAUUUAGUCAUAUCUUUUUUGGUAUAAGUUUAUUUGGUAUUAGGUAUAACUAUUUGCUGUCUUAGUAGUUGCUUUAGGAUUUAUAAUGUAUGAAUUUACCUCAUCACAAUCCACCUUCAAGUAAUAUUAUAUCAUAUCAUAGAUGGUAUAAGAAAUUACAAUCAUAUUUUCAUUUCUUUUCUAUCAACCAGAUCCCAGCCUAGAUCUGUGGGAUUAUGGCUUUUGUUAAGUUUAGAACAUAUUUAGCCAACUUUUCCUCAAAUUUUUGAUUCUGCCUCUCCUCCUACCUCUUUGGGGACUUAUAUACUACCUGCUGGAAGUUUGCUCAUAGUUCACUAGUGUCUCAAAUUUGUGAAUCUUUUCUUUCAUGAUGGCGAAUUAAUCUAUGCUCAUAUCUACUCAGUGUAGCUUUCAUCUCCAGCAUUGUAAUUUGUAUCUCUAAAAGUGCAAUUUGGUUUUUAAAAGUAUCUUCUAUUGCUUUAUUUAUCUUCUUGAUUUUUAUAGUAGAAUAGAGUUGAGUUACUUAUAAACAGCUUGAUCCUUUUCAUUUUUCUUUUUAUGGUGUGAGCUAACUCCCCAUACCUGAGACAAGGCCUUUCUGAGUAUUCAUUUUCCUGUGAAGUCUGAGUUUUCCCAGGCAAAUCUAUAAAAACAGACACUCUUCUUGGCACUGUAUGAGCACCAGGUGUGAUUUCCUCUAAUUUUAUAAGCCAACCCCCACCCCCACCCGGUUUGUUCUUAGGUAGUUUUCUAUCUCACAUGCAAUUUUCAAAAUUUUGCUAAAUACUGACAGGGGGUUUCUUGCCGUUUCUCUCUCUCCUCCUCAGUGUUUGUUCUGUAAUAUCUGCCUGCUUUGGUUUUACCAGACUCUAAGCUUCAUCAGUGUAACCAAGAGAGUCUGGUAGAUCCCACCUCAGUUUUUUCUUCCUGUGUCAUGUCUCGGAAUCUCUGCCAAGACAGGAAGCUGAAACAUUCAUAAGGUUUGCUUUCUUUUGUUUUUUUAUUUUCUGUUUUUCAGGGAUUAUUAUCUUCUUUGCCUAAUGUCCAGUAUCUGAAAAAUUGUUUAAUGUAUUUUGUGUGUUUUGAUUUUAGUUAUUUUAGCUAAGAAGAAAAAUCAUACCUGUUGCUCUCCCUUGGCUAGAGGAAGACUACACUAGAGUUUCAGCACAUGCCACAGACUGGCUAAAAUGCUUUCCUUCCCUGUUUGCUCAACUGCUUCCUUUUCAUUCUUCAUUCCUCAGUGUAGCUAUACAUCCCUCGGGGGAAUUUUCCAUGAGCCUAGUAUAGAUUUAAAUCUUAGCAAUCUGUUUUCUUAACAGUAUUUAUCUGAAUUUAUAACUGUCACUUUUCUGGGGCUUUGUCUUUUAGCACAUUUUAAGUUAAACAAAUGCAGAGGUUUUUGUUUUUUUCUGUUUAAUCUGCAGAGCUUAGUAUAAUGCCUUCCACGUGGCAGGCAUUCAAUAUAUAUUUGAUCAGUGUAUGAAUUAGUGAUUGUUAAAAUAUGCAGUUCUCUACAUCCCAAAAGUACUAAUACAUUUUAUUUCUAUCUCCUCCUUGAGACAGAUUCAACUAGCCUAUCAAAAAUCUUGGAUGCAGUUCUUUCUUGUGAAAGAGCAAGGGAACUUAAAAAAUAUCCCUGUGGGCCAGGCGCCAUGGCUCACGCCUGUAAUCUCAUCACUUUGGGAGGCCAAGGCGGGCAGAUCAUGAGAUCAGGAGAUCAAGACCAUCCUGGCUAACACAGUGAAACCCCGUCUCUACUAAAAAUACAAAAAAAAAAAUUAGCCAGGCGUGGUGGCAGGUGACUGUAGUCCCAGCUACUCGGGAGGCUGAGGCAGGAGAAUGGCAUGAACCCGGGAGGCAGAGCUUGCAGUGAGUGGAGAUCGCACCACUGCACUCCAGCCUAGGCAACAGAGCGAGACUCCGUCAAAAAAAAAAAAAAAGGAAAAAAAAAUCCCUGUGAACAACUUACAGCAAAAAUGAAACAAAUGAAAAAUAAGCUUCGUGUACUACAAAAGGAACUAACAGAAGCAAAAGAAAUAAAAUCAUAGAGAAUCAAAAACUUAAAAGAGAACAAGAGCUCUGCAGUGUGAGAUUGACUUUAAACCAAGAAGAAGAGAAGAGAAGAAAUGCCAAUAUAUUAAAUGAAAAAAUUAGGGAAGAAUUAGGAAAAAUCGAAGAGCAACAAAAGAAAAAGUUAAAAGUGAAGCAACUUGAGCUCACUCUCCGAAUAUACAAAAUAUGGAAUUGAAGACUGUAAGAAGUAAUUUGAAUCAGCUCAAUCAAUCACUGGUAAAAAUUUUAUAUUUCUAACUUUAUUUCAUCAAUAUUACUUUUAAUAUCCCUUCGAUUUAGUAUGUAUUAUUCAGAAUUAUGAUAAUGCCGCUAUAAUAUUUAGGUACAAACUUUUGUAUAUUUCAUUCAUAAGUUUUCAUUUCUUUCGGGUAUGUACCUAGGAAUGGAAUUGCUGGGUCAUAAGGUACCUAUGCAUAACCUUUUCAGCAAUCACCUCACAGUUUUCCAAUAUGUGCACUAUUUUACUUUCCCACCAGCGAUGUAUGAAAGAUCUAAUUUCUCUACGGCCUCACCAGGGUGGAGUGCAGUGGCGCACUCUCAGCUCACUGCAAGCUCCAACUCCCGGGUUCACGCCAUCCUCCUGCCUCAGCCUCCCGAGAAGCUGGGACUAUGGGCGCCUGCCACCAUGCCCGGCUAAUUUUUUGUAUUUUUUAGUAGAGAUGGGGUUUCACCAUGUUAGCCAGGAUGGUCUUGAUCUCCUGACCUCGUGAUCCGCCCACCUCAGCCUCCCAAAGUGCUGGGAUUACAGGCGUGAGCCACUGUGCCCAACCAUUUGUCAUUUUUUAUUGUGGGUACACUAGUGGGUGUUAAGUGAUAUCUGCUUAUGGUUUUGAAUUUGCAUUUUCUUGAUGGCUUGUGAUGUUAGGCUUUUCUUCAAGCCCUUAUUGGACGCUCUUAUAUCUUCUUCACAAAAAUGUCUAUUUAAAUAUUUUGUCUAUUUUUAUGUAUUUUUUGUUGUUGUUGUUGAGUUGUAAAAGUUAUUUGUGCAUUUUGGAUACAGAUUUCUAAUCAAAUAUAUAAGUUGCAAACAUUUUAUCCA